GAUGUUNCCCCUCCUCUUUCAUCAUCGCACAGAUGAUGCAGAUCGACGAUGUCCAAUAAAAUUCUCGGGAGAAUUAUGAUAAUGACAUUGUCUGCCUAUGUGUCUUGACCAAAUUACGUGCCASCAGUCNCGGUAAUACGUAGAACACUAGUGUUAUUCAUGUUUAAUCGGGUUAAAGGGUWCCUAGACGGUANAUCAAGCUUUUUCAUAUNAAUUAUGAUAAUUAAAGGGACUAAUUUACUAGAGUUACUUACNAGGGGGUAUUAAAGUACUGCUGGUGUAGAGAUGAAAUUCUGUCAUACCUCUUUUCCAANGAAAAAUCAUGGCACAGGUAUAGGCGAAGGCCUCCCCUUAUGGGAUNACUGACGUUGAGGGACGAAGGCUUUGUGUAACCAACCGGAUUAGAUACCCUAGUAGUUGAAGCAGAAAAUGAUGAAUGUCAUAGAUUAGAUAUGUAAGCUUAUUCUAUAAAUGAAAGUGUAAGCAUUCCACCUCANGAGUAAUUUGGCAACAUUGGAAUNGAAAUCAUUAGACCGUUUCUGAAACC
rnacentral:rRNA from 1 species